rnacentral:rRNA from 1 species
UGGGGAAUUUUGGACAAUGGGCGAAAGCCUGAUCCAGCAAUGCCGCGUGUGUGAAGAAGGCCUUCGGGUUGUAAAGCACUUUUGUCCGGAAAGAAAUCCUUGGCUCUAAUACAGUCGGGGGAUGACGGUACCGGGAAGAAUAAGCACCGGCUAACUACGUGCCAGCAGCCGCGGUAAUACGUAGGGUGCAAGCGUUAAUCGGAAUUACUGGGCGUAAAGCGUGCGCAGGCGGUUUGCUAAGACCGAUGUGAAAUCCCCCGGGCUCAACCUGGGAACUGCAUGGUGACUGGCAGGCUAGAGUAUGGCAGAGGGGGGUAGAAUUCCACGUGUGAGCAGUGAAAUGCGUAGAGAUGUGGAGGAAUACCGAUGGCGAAGGCAGCCCCCUGGGCCAAUACUGACGCUCAUGCACG